UGUUUUCAAAGUGUGCCAGAACGCGCUUUUUAUAACUACUUAGGGUCAUAAAAAUGAUCUCGUCUCAAUGAUGCCUGGGAGCCUCUCUAUGGCUCGCCGGCCAUCUGAACUCCUCACUCCUCACUCCUCACCUGAACACUCGUCGAGGUGUGAGCUGAUCACUUUUCAAGAUGUCAAUUUUUACAUUCGAUUAUUCAACAAUCUUGACCGCGUAAAAGGAGAUAAACUAUUGCAUUCGUUCAGUUCUUCGCGGAGAGCUAACCUAUAACGAAGAGUCACUACAAAGUCAGUAACGGAGGAAACUGAACAACGACGUCCAACGGAAAAAUGAAGGACCUUGUCUUGUUUUUGAUAACUUUGGCUCUGGCCAAGUCACUUCCACUCGAGACCGAUCAGAACACCGAAGUCGCGCUGAACGAGGACGAGAAGAUUGAUACAGCUGAUAAGCUUGAAAUUGCUAAAAGAGGUUCUUGUGAAGAAGGUA